UGACAUAUAUAUUUUUUUUAAUGAUUUGGU
rnacentral:piRNA from 2 species